UCAGGACGAACGCUGGCGGCGUGCCUAAUACAUGCAAGUCGAACGAACGGAGGAAGAGCUUGCUCUUCCAAAGUUAGUGGCGGACGGGUGAGUAACACGUGGGCAACCUGCCUGUAAGUUGGGGAUAACUCCGGGAAACCGGGGCUAAUACCGAAUGAUAAGGAGUGACGCAUGUCACUGCUUUGAAAGAUGGUUUCGGCUAUCGCUUACAGAUGGGCCCGCGGUGCAUUAGCUAGUUGGUAGGGUAAAGGCCUACCAAGGCAACGAUGCAUAGCCGACCUGAGAGGGUGAUCGGCCACACUGGGACUGAGACACGGCCCAGACUCCUACGGGAGGCAGCAGUAGGGAAUCUUCCGCAAUGGACGAAAGUCUGACGGAGCAACGCCGCGUGUAUGAAGAAGGUUUUCGGAUCGUAAAGUACUGUUGUUAGAGAAGAACAAGGAUAAGAGUAACUGCUUGUCCCUUGACGGUAUCUAACCAGAAAGCCACGGCUAACUAC
rnacentral:rRNA from 1 species